rnacentral:rRNA from 1 species
UAUUUGGAGGGCAAGUCUGGUGCCAGCAGCCGCGGUAAUUCCAGCUCCAAUAGCGUAUAUUAAAGUUGUUGCAGUUAAAAAGCUUGUAGUUGAACCUUGGGUCUGGCUGGCCGGUCCGCCUCACCGCGAGUACUGGUCCGGCUGGACCUUUCCUUCUGGGGAACCUCAUCCCUUUCACUGGCUGUGGGGGGAACCAGGACUUUUACUGUGAAAAAAUUAGAGUGUUCAAAGCAGGCCUUUGCUCGAAUACAUUAGCAUGGAAUAAUAGAAUAGGACGUGCGGUUUUAUUUUGUUGGUUUCUAGGACCGCCGUAAUGAUUAAUAGGGAUAGUCGGGGGCGUCAGUAUUCAACUUCAGAGGUGAAAUUCUUGGAUUUAAUUAAGAAUAACUAAUUUGAAAGCCUUUGCCAUGGAAGCAUCCCUAACCAGGUUAGGAGAGCAAGUGAGGCGCAUGACAGGUUCAGGACCCUCUAUGU